rnacentral:tRNA from 1 species
GCAUUGGCAGUUCAGUGGCAGAGUUCUUACCUGCCAUGCAGGAGGGUUGGGUUUGAUUCCCAACCAAUGCG